rnacentral:tRNA from 1 species
AAGGCAUAGAAUAAAAUAAUACAUUUCACUUACACUGAGAGAAUACUUUAUAUAUAAGUUGACUU